rnacentral:rRNA from 1 species
AACGAACGCUGGCGGCAUGCCUAACACAUGCAAGUCGAACGAGAUCUUCGGGUCUAGUGGCGCACGGGUGCGUAACGCGUGGGAAUCUGCCCUUUGGUUCGGAAUAACAGUUGGAAACGACUGCUAAUACCGGAUGAUGACGAAAGUCCAAAGAUUUAUCGCCAGAGGAUGAGCCCGCGUAGGAUUAGCUAGUUGGUGUGGUAAAGGCGCACCAAGGCGACGAUCCUUAGCUGGUCUGAGAGGAUGAUCAGCCACACUGGGACUGAGACACGGCCCAGACUCCUACGGGAGGCAGCAGUGGGGAAUAUUGGACAAUGGGCGAAGGCCUGAUCCAGCAAUGCCGCGUGAGUGAUGAAGGCCUUAGGGUUGUAAAGCUCUUUUACCCGGGAUGAUAAUGACAGUACCGGGAGAAUAAGCUCCGGCUAACUCUGUGCCAGCAGCCGCAGUAA